rnacentral:SRP_RNA from 1 species
GCUGGGUGCGGUGGCUCACACCUGUAAUCCUAGCACUUUGGGAGGCUGAGGUGGGUGGAUCACCUGAGGUCAGGAGUUCAAGACCAGCCUGGCCAACAUGGUGAAACCCCAUCUCUA